ACAUCGUCCACCUCUCACCCUCACCUCACGAUCUAUUUCACCUCUCAACUCAUCAUCCGACUCAUAUUUCAUCAAUUACAUCUACCCAUGUCUUACCCCAACAUUUUCGUAGAUAUAUAAUACAUUUAUACAGUUUAAAUCAUUUCAAACGUGUAUAAAAUCGUUCAUCCAACAUAGACAGCAAGUACUCAGUUAAUAUGCACACAUAGCACGUAAUUUAUAUAAAAUACUUCAUACAUAUGUGUAAGAUGAAAGGGACCAUGCACUCACUUGAUUAGGUGGUGACUCGGUACUUGAACAGCACUUCGUGAUCUCAAAACAAUUUUUUAUCCUUGACAAAAACCUAGUAUUAAUACCAUUAGAGUUUAGUUUUAACGUUAUCUCAAAACAUAACUUACAUUCAUUAUCACUAGUGAUCUAUAUCUUCUCAAUCUCUCAGUGUAAUGUCACUUCAUAUCGACACAUGUGAUAUAAAUAAACUGAGUGGGUCAGGUUGGGAAACCUGGUGAGUACAUAGGGUUUUCAACCCACAAUAAUAUAAUUAUUAUGUUUAAUCAUCAAACAGUUAACCCAAUUACCCAUCCCCAUUAUCUUCUUUAUUCUUAAGGAUCUACCCUAAGAAUCAGCUAUUUCUUGUUCAUUCAUUCCUAAGAAGUAUCCUAAGGAAUAGGUAUGAAUUCCAUCGUUGUAAAUGACACAUCUGUCAGGCACAACUGCUAGUUCUGUCAGUUAGGCGCAGCUGCCAAAAUUGUGACAUUCUCUAUGGGGCGCAUCUGCCGGAAUAGUCCUUUUAGGCACAUCUGCCGGGGUUAUGAGGUUCUCUAUUAGGCGCUUCUGCCGGUAGAGUCCUUUAGGCACAUCUGCCAGGGUUUUAUUGACAGUAUCGUUUUCGAGAGUCCACUCACAAUACAUAUCAAUAGGUUUUUAGAGUACACCGGUGAACACAUCGUUCACAACACCUACAGGUUGCGAGCCUGCUAGUGUUCCACUGGACUGUCUAGAAUAGUCCGUGGUUAUCAUCCAUACUCUGCUGAAUGACAGGGCCAUCAUUUGGGAAAAAAGGCUUCUCACAUCGUCCACCUCUCACCCUCACCUCACGGUCUAUUUCACCUCUCAACUCAUCAUCCGACUCAUAUUUCAUCUAUUAAAUCUACCCAUGUCUUACCCCAACAUUUUCGUAGAUAUAUAAUACAUAUACAGUUUAAAUCAUUUCAAACGUGUAUAAAAUCGUUCAUCCAGCAUAGACAGCAAGUACUCAGUUAAUAUGCACACAUAGCACGUAAUUUAUAUAAAAUACUUCAUACAUAUGUGUAAGAUGAAAGGGACCAUGCACUCACUUGAUUAGGUGGUGACUCGGUACUUGAACAGCACUUCGUGAUCUCAAAACAAUUUUUUAUCCUUGACAAAAACCUAGUAUUAAUACCAUUAGAGUUUAGUUUUAACGUUAUCUCAAAACAUAACUUACAUUCAUUAUCACUAGUGAUCUAUAUCUUCUCAAUCUCUCAGUGUAAUGUCACUUCAUAUCGACACAUGUGAUAUAAAUAAACUGAGUGGGUCAGGUUGGGAAACCUGGUGAGUACAUAGGGUUUUCAACCCACAAUAAUAUAAUUAUUAUGUUUAAUCAUCAAACAGUUAACCCAAUUACCCAUCCCCAUUAUCUUCUUUAUUCUUAAGGAUCUACCCUAAGAAUCAGCUAUUUCUUGUUCAUUCAUUCCUAAGAAGUAUCCUAAGGAAUAGGUAUGAAUUCCAUCGUUGUAAAUGACACAUCUGUCAGGCACAACUGCUAGUUCUGUCACUUAGGCGCAGCUGCCAAAAUUGUGACAUUCUCUAUGGGGCGCAUCUGCCGGAAUAGUCCUUUUAGGCACAUCUGCCGGGGUUAUGAGGUUCUCUAUUAGGCGCUUCUGCCGGUAGAGUCCUUUAGGCACAUCUGCCAGGGUUUUAUUGACAGUAUCGUUUUCGAGAGUCCACUCACAAUACAUAUCAAUGGGUUUUUAGAGUACACCGGUGAACACAUCGUUCACAACACCUACAGGUUGCGAGCCUGCUAGUGUUCCACUGGACUGUCUAGAAUAGUCCGUGGUUAUCAUCCAUACUCUGCUGAAUGACAGGGCCAUCAUUUGGGAAAAAAGGCUUCUCACAUCGUCCACCUCUCACCCUCACCUCACGGUCUAUUUCACCUCUC
rnacentral:lncRNA from 1 species